rnacentral:rRNA from 1 species
CAGUCUGGCCUGCCCCCUGAUUUUUAAAGGGCCGCGGUAUUUGAACCGUGCUAAGGUAGCACAAUAAAUAGUCUUUUAAUUGAGGUCUAGUAUGAACGGUCGGACAUGAAGUGAGCUGUCUUAAUUAUAGUGUUUGAAUUUUACUUUUAAGUGAAAAGGCUUAAAUUGGGUGGUGGGACGAUAAGACCCUAUAAAGCUUUACAUUCUAUUUAUAAGUUGAAAAUUUUAUGGUUUUUUGCUCUUUUUUGGUAGAGUGUUUUGUUGGGGCGACAAGAAUAUAAAAUGGUAACUGUUUUUAUUUAAAAAAUAUGUUUUUAUAGGAGAGUUGAUCCUUUAUAAAGAUUAUAAGAGUUAAGUUACUUUAGGGAUAACAGCGUUAUUUUUCUUGAGAGUUCUUAUCGACAGAAAUAGUUGCGACCUCGAUGUUGAAUUAAGAUUUCUUCAAGGCGUAGCAGUUUUGAUAGUGGGUCUGUUCCACCUUUAAAAUCUU